AACGAACGCUGGCGGCAUGCCUAACACAUGCAAGUCGAACGACACCACCGUAACUAGUUGCUCACGGGUGCGUAACGCGUGGGAACGUGGCCUUAGGCUCGGAAUAACUCCUCUAAAGGGGUGCUAACAUCGGAUAAUGUCCGCGAACCCAAGAUUUAUCUCACUUGUAUGGGCGGGCGUUGUUUUAGCUUGUCGCUAGGGUAAAAGCCUAUGAAGGCGACGCUCGAUAGCUGGUCUGAGAGACAGAUCAGCCACACUCCGACUGAGAAACGGCCCAGACUCCUACGGGAGGCAGCAGUGGGGAAUAUAGCACAAUGGCGGGAAGCCUGAUGCAGCAAUGCCGCGUGAGUGAUGAAGGCCUUAGAGUAGUAAAGCUCUUUUACCCGGGAUGAUAAUGACGGUACCGAAAGAAUAAGCUCCGGCUAACUUCGUG
rnacentral:rRNA from 1 species